CUGGUGGGUAGUUUGACUGGGGCGGUCUCCUCCUAAAGAGUAACGGAGGAGCACGAAGGUUGGCUAAUCCUGGUCGGACAUCAGGAGGUUAGUGCAAUGGCAUAAGCCAGCUUGACUGCGAGCGUGACGGCGCGAGCAGGUGCGAAAGCAGGUCAUAGUGAUCCGGUGGUUCUGAAUGGAAGGGCCAUCGCUCAACGGAUAAAAGGUACUCCGGGGAUAACAGGCUGAUACCGCCCAAGAGUUCAUAUCGACGGCGGUGUUUGGCACCUCGAUGUCGGCUCAUCACAUCCUGGGGCUGAAGUAGGUCCCAAGGGUAUGGCUGUUCGCCAUUUAAAGUGGUACGCGAGCUGGGUUUAGAACGUCGUGAGACAGUUCGGUCCCUAUCUGCCGUGGGCGCUGGAGAACUGAGGGGGGCUGCUCCUAGUACGAGAGGACCGGAGUGGACGCAUCACUGGUGUUCGGGUUGUCAUGCCAAUGGCACUGCCCGGUAGCUAAAUGCGGAAGAGAUAAGUGCUGAAAGCAUCUAAGCACGAAACUUGCCCCGAGAUGAGUUCUCCCUGACUCCUUGAGAGUCCUGAAGGAACGUUGAAGACGACGACGUUGAUAGGCCGGGUGUGUAAGCGCAGCGAUGCGUUGAGCUAAGCGGUACUAAUGAACCGUGAGGCUUAACCUUACAACGCCGAAG
rnacentral:rRNA from 1 species